rnacentral:rRNA from 1 species
GCAAGUCGAGCGCCUCGCAAGAGGAGCGGCAGACGGGUGAGUAACGCGUGGGAAUCUACCCAUCUCUACGGAACAACAGUUGGAAACGACUGCUAAUACCGUAUACGCCCUUCGGGGGAAAGAUUUAUCGGAGAUGGAUGAGCCCGCGUUGGAUUAGCUAGUUGGUGGGGUAAAGGCCUACCAAGACGAUGAUGCAUAGCCGACCUGAGAGGGUGAUC